ACUACGACUCUCGACAAUGGAUAUCUCGGCUCUCGCUUCGAUGAAGAACGUAGCGAAAUGCGAUACCCUGUGUGAAAUGCAGAAUCCCGUGAAUCAUAGAAUCUUUGAACGCAAGUUGCGCCCGAGGCCUAGGCUGAGGGCACGUCUGCCUGGGUGUCGUGAAA
rnacentral:rRNA from 1 species